rnacentral:rRNA from 1 species
UACAGAGGUGGCAAGCGUUGUUCGGAUUUAUUGGGCGUAAAGGGUUCGUAGGCGGACCGGAAAGUCAGAAGUGAAAUCCCACAGCUCAACUGUGGAACUGCUUUUGAAACUUCCGGACUAGAGUGUGAGAGGGUUAAGGGAAUUCCCGGUGUAAGGGUGAAAUCUGCAGAGAUCGGGAGGAACACCAGUCGCGAAGGCGCUUAACUGGCUCACUACUGACGCUCAGGAACGAAAGCUAGGGUAGCAAACGGG